GACGAACCGUGCGAACGUUAUUCGGAAUCACUGGGCUUAAAGCGCGUGUCGGCGGGCGGGUACGUCGGCGACUGAAAGCCCCCGGCUCAACCGGGGAAGGGGUGCCGAAACGGCCGGCCUGGAGGGGCGUAGGGGGACCUGGAACUUCCGGUGGAGCGGUGAAAUGCGUUGAGAUCGGAAGGAACGCCCGUGGCGAAAGCGAGGUCCUGGACGCCAUCUGACGCUGAGACGCGAAAGCCAGGGGAGCGAACGGG
rnacentral:rRNA from 1 species